UUAAGCGACUAAGCGUACACGGUGGAUGCCCUGGCAGUCAGAGGCGAUGAAGGACGUGCUAAUCUGCGAAAAGCGUCGGUAAGGUGAUAUGAACCGUUAUAACCGGCGAUGUCCGAAUGGGGAAACCCAGUGCAAUUCGUUGCACUAUCGUUAACUGAAUACAUAGGUUAACGAGGCGAACCGGGGGAACUGAAACAUCUAAGUACCCCGAGGAAAAGAAAUCAACCGAGAUUCCCCCAGUAGCGGCGAGCGAACGGGGAGCAGCCCAGAGUCUGAAUCAGCUUGUGUGUUAGUGGAACGGUCUGGAAAGUCCGACGGUACAGGGUGAUAGUCCCGUACACCAAAAUGCACAGGCUGUGAACUCGAAGAGUAGGGCGGGACACGUGGUAUCCUGUCUGAAUAUGGGGGGACCAUCCUCCAAGGCUAAAUACUCCUGACUGACCGAUAGUGAACCAGUACCGUGAGGGAAAGGCGAAAAGAACCCCGGCGAGGGGAGUGAAAAAGAACCUGAAACCGUGUACGUACAAGCAGUGGGAGCACCUUCGGGUGUGACUGCGUACCUUUUGUAUAAUGGGUCAGCGACUUAUAUUCUGUAGCAAGGUUAACCGUAUAGGGGAGCCGCAGGGAAACCGAGUCUUAACUGGGCGUUAAGUUGCAGGGUAUAGACCCGAAACCCGGUGAUCUAGCCAUGGGCAGGUUGAAGGUUGGGUAACACUAACUGGAGGACCGAACCGACUAAUGUUGAAAAAUUAGCGGAUGACUUGUGGCUGGGGGUGAAAGGCCAAUCAAACCGGGAGAUAGCUGGUUCUCCCCGAAAGCUAUUUAGGUAGCGCCUCGUGAACUCAUCUUCGGGGGUAGAGCACUGUUUCGGCUAGGGGGUCAUCCCGACUUACCAACCCGAUGCAAACUACGAAUACCGAAGAAUGUUAUCACGGGAGACACACGGCGGGUGCUAACGUCCGUCGUGAAGAGGGAAACAACCCAGACCGCCAGCUAAGGUCCCAAAGUCAUGGUUAAGUGGGAAACGAUGUGGGAAGGCACAGACAGCCAGGAUGUUGGCUUAGAAGCAGCCAUCAUUUAAAGAAAGCGUAAUAGCUCACUGGUCGAGUCGGCCUGCGCGGAAGAUGUAACGGGGCUAAACCAUGCACCGAAGCUGCGGCAGCGACACUAUGUGUUGUUGGGUAGGGGAGCGUUCUGUAAGCCUGCGAAGGUGACCUGUGAGGCAUGCUGGAGGUAUCAGAAGUGCGAAUGCUGACAUAAGUAACGAUAAAGCGGGUGAAAAGCCCGCUCGCCGGAAGACCAAGGGUUCCUGUCCAACGUUAAUCGGGGCAGGGUGAGUCGACCCCUAAGGCGAGGCCGAAAGGCGUAGUCGAUGGGAAACAGGUUAAUAUUCCUGUACUUGGUGUUACUGCGAAGGGGGGACGGAGAAGGCUAUGUUAGCCGGGCGACGGUUGUCCCGGUUUAAGCAUGUAGGCUGAUUAUCCAGGCAAAUCCGGAUAAUCAAGGCUGAGGUGUGAUGACGAGGCACUACGGUGCUGAAGUAACAAAUGCCCUGCUUCCAGGAAAAGCCUCUAAGCAUCAGGUAACAUCAAAUCGUACCCCAAACCGACACAGGUGGUCAGGUAGAGAAUACCAAGGCGCUUGAGAGAACUCGGGUGAAGGAACUAGGCAAAAUGGUGCCGUAACUUCGGGAGAAGGCACGCUGGUGUGUAGGUGAAGUCCCUGCGGAUGGAGCUGAGACCAGUCGAAGAUACCAGCUGGCUGCAACUGUUUAUUAAAAACACAGCACUGUGCAAACACGAAAGUGGACGUAUACGGUGUGACGCCUGCCCGGUGCCGGAAGGUUAAUUGAUGGGGUUAUCCGUAAGGAGAAGCUCUUGAUCGAAGCCCCGGUAAACGGCGGCCGUAACUAUAACGGUCCUAAGGUAGCGAAAUUCCUUGUCGGGUAAGUUCCGACCUGCACGAAUGGCGUAAUGAUGGCCAGGCUGUCUCCACCCGAGACUCAGUGAAAUUGAACUCGCUGUGAAGAUGCAGUGUACCCGCGGCAAGACGGAAAGACCCCGUGAACCUUUACUAUAGCUUGACACUGAACAUUGAGCCUUGAUGUGUAGGAUAGGUGGGAGGCUUUGAAGCGUGGACGCCAGUCUGCGUGGAGCCAACCUUGAAAUACCACCCUUUAAUGUUUGAUGUUCUAACGUUGGCCCCUGACCGGGGUUGCGGACAGUGUCUGGUGGGUAGUUUGACUGGGGCGGUCUCCUCCCAAAGCGUAACGGAGGAGCACGAAGGUUAGCUAAUCCUGGUCGGACAUCAGGAGGUUAGUGCAAUGGCAUAAGCUAGCUUGACUGCGAGCGUGACGGCGCGAGCAGGUGCGAAAGCAGGUCAUAGUGAUCCGGUGGUUCUGAAUGGAAGGGCCAUCGCUCAACGGAUAAAAGGUACUCCGGGGAUAACAGGCUGAUACCGCCCAAGAGUUCAUAUCGACGGCGGUGUUUGGCACCUCGAUGUCGGCUCAUCACAUCCUGGGGCUGAAGUAGGUCCCAAGGGUAUGGCUGUUCGCCAUUUAAAGUGGUACGCGAGCUGGGUUUAGAACGUCGUGAGACAGUUCGGUCCCUAUCUGCCGUGGGCGCUGGAGAAUUGAGGGGGGCUGCUCCUAGUACGAGAGGACCGGAGUGGACGCAUCACUGGUGUUCGGGUUGUCAUGCCAAUGGCACUGCCCGGUAGCUAAAUGCGGAAGAGAUAAGUGCUGAAAGCAUCUAAGCACGAAACUUGCCCCGAGAUGAGUUCUCCCUGAGACUUUAAGUCUCCUGAAGGAACGUUAAAGACGAUGACGUUGAUAGGCCGGGUGUGUAAGCGCAGCGAUGCGUUGAGCUAACCGGUACUAAUGAACCGUGAGGCUUAACCUU
rnacentral:rRNA from 1 species